CCUGGACAUUUUUUUAAAAGACUUUAUUUAUUUAUUAUGUAUACAACAUUCUGCUUCCAUUCUUCCACCAGAAGAGGGCACCGGACCUCGUGACAGAUGGUUAUGAGCCACCAUGUGGUUGCUGGGAAUUGAACUCAGGACCUCUGGAAGAACAGUCGGUGCUCUUAACCGCUGAGCCAUCAUCUCUCCAACCCAUUCCCUGGACAUUUUAACAAACACGUGCAUUUACACAUAGGAACACUCACAUAAAACUCCCUUGCUCAUUCAUAGACAAGACCGAGUGCCCCCAUGCCUCUUGGAUUCAGUGUCACCAAGGAAAUUGCUGAUCUGCCAAAGAACUCUCCGAGCAAAGCUGUGAAGUGGAGAAAGGGUAACAAAAGGCCGUGGAGAAGGACACUGAAAGGUCAUCCAGAAGACCUGGAUCCCGAAAUGCAAACAUCGGCGGUCUCCUUAAAUCCACGCAUCCAGGAAGGUGUUCAUAACCUCUUCUCAAGUGGCCAGAGCCAGGAUCAUACAGCAUAAGGAUGAAGCUGCCCUCUGAGCAUGCCCAUAUACUUUUCUUU
rnacentral:lncRNA from 1 species